UGGUCGCAUUUUCCGUACGGAAUCAGCUGUUUUCGCUUUUUGUCAACUGAUACAUCAUUUUGAAUUUGAAAAUGAAAAGGAAGAAGAGUGUUUUGUUAACCGAUAAAAUCAUUUUAAAUUUGAAUGUUGAGGACGACGAAUGCUUUAUCCAAAAAUCCAAAUUUAAUAGAUAGUAUUGAUAAAAAAGAAAUGUUUGUACGACAAAAGAGAUGCAUUUUAUUUCAAUCGUACAAAUAAAGAAAAAGCGUGGAAAGCAAUCGCGGAACUAUGCUGUAAAAGUGAUCUAGAAUGCAAACAUAGAUGGAAGCUACUCCGGGAGCGCUUCUGCAAGGAGAUAAAAAGGUUAGAAGCUCCUUCAGGUAGCGGAAUGAGCUACUUAGAGGAAUGGCGUUAUUUAAAACCUCUGAUGUUUCUGAAAGACUCCGUCACACCGCGUCGCACUCGUGAUAAUGCAGAAACAAAUAUAGACUCUGUCUUGGAUUCAUCAAUGAGUGAUAGUUUGAAUGAAAUUUCAUAGCCACCUCGGAAGAAAAAUAAAAGUCUCUACCUAGAAAGUCUCUACCAAAAAUUUGGCGCAACAAUGGGAAACUUAGAUGGCGGCGCCGGCUGAAAGACGUGAAACUGAUGAGGCCUUUUUUGACGACGGUUUUGUGUCUGAUGAAAGACCUGCCAGUGUCGGUCAAAGACGGUUUCCAAGAGAAAAUGAUAUUGGAGUUAUAUCGCUUACGUCCCGAAAAUAGGCAAACAUGAAAUUGAAAACGACAAGAAUUCAAUCUAGUUUCCUUAUUUUAUUUCCUUAUUUUUUAAAAAGUGUUAAAACUGCACAAGUUAUUUCUAACUUCCAAAGAACUUCUUCCACCGUAAUGAUGCAAAUUGGAAGAUUACAUAAUCGAUGGGAUAUUACUUUCAACUUCUCUACGCCAUAUACCGUCAUGAAAAUCUCCAUUAGAGUCCUGCCAAUCAGCAUAGUUGCUUGCAGUAUACAAAGAUGCAUUAACGUUAUUAAACAUAAUAAAAUUAUGUAAG